AGGCAUUCUUCUGGAUUUUGACACAUGGUGUUGAUGGCCGUCUGAUUGGGUUCUAGAUGUUUCCAGCAAUAUAUUCGUGUGUGACUCUUUGACUAGACACAAUUUUGGAGAGUUUAAUCUGGCUUUGAGGUCCUGCUCUUGAGUUUUCUCUUCCGUGUGAAGAACUCUUCUUCUUUGUGAAUUGGGAUCCAAAAAUCUGAGUGUUCCAAUAAGUAAAUUUUGUGAAAACCUUUGUUAUACUAUAGAUACUUGUAGUUGUGUAUUCGAUGUUGGUGUUGUAUGAAUCUAUGUGAUUCGAUGAGAGCAGUGCUGGGUUUUUCAUAGAUUUGUGUGAUCUGGAGUUGAUUCCUUAGUGGAUAGUGGUCAGCCUUGUGAUUUCUCUUAAAGAUAAGUCUCAUGCUUAGUCUUUGUAAUUUUUGGAACAAUAUUGUAUAUUCUUACAGUCAGUUUUUUGGCUUUAUAGUACAAUCGAGUUUUAUCCAUUUCUAAUGGAUGUUCAAUGAGGGAUUAGACGUUAGAAGUGGUAGCCGAACCUCUGGGGUUUAGGCCGAAAAAAUCUUUGUGUUGACUUUUACGUCUCUGCAUUUUUCUUUACUGCUUUGCAUUUGUGGUUUUAUGAAUCUUGGUUAAUGCCUUGAAUGCUCCUCGACUUUUCAGUGGUAUCAGAGCAAUCUUGGAUUGCUGGAGCGUCUCUAAUUUCUAUGAGUCGACUAGAUUCUGAAACCUGUCUCAAAUUGCAGUAAACAUUGGCUAGUGGAAAUUGAGUUUUAUCAAACUCAUUGGCGAGAUCUAUCCUACAUUCUGUAAUUAGUUUUUAUAGUAGGGUCUCCUAAUUUUUCCUCUAAUUUACCUUGCACUAAGAAGCCCUAUUGUGGCUGGUCUUUGUCCAGAGACUCAAGAAAUCUUGAGAAUCUGAAAUAACAACACCAGUAGGAAUACAAUUGGGAGGUCUUCCUACAGAAGUCAGUUGAGGCAUAGGAAUUGAUAUCUGUAUUCUUUGUGAUUCUACCUCUUAUACUUAGUGUUAAGUGUUUAUUAUUUUGAGAAAA
rnacentral:lncRNA from 1 species